CGUAGGGUGCGAGCGUUAAUCGGAAUUACUGGGCGUAAAGCGUGCGCAGGCGGUUUUGUAAGACAGAUGUGAAAUCCCCGGGCUCAACCUGGGACCUGCAUUUGUGACUGCAAGGCUAGAGUACGGUAGAGGGGGAUGGAAUUCCGCGUGUAGCAGUGAAAUGCGUAGAUAUGCGGAGGAACACCGAUGGCGAAGGCAAUCCCCUGGACCUGUACUGACGCUCAUGCACGAAAGCGUGGGGAGCAAACAGGAUUAGAUACCCUGGUAGUCCACGCCCUAAACGAUGUCAACUGGUUGUUGGGUCUUUACUGACUCAGUAACGAAGCUAACGCGUGGAGUUGACCGCCUGGGGAGUACGGCCGCAAGGUUG
rnacentral:rRNA from 1 species